rnacentral:rRNA from 1 species
UACGUAGGCAGCAAGCGUUGUUCGGAGUUACUGGGCGUAAAGGGUGUGUAGGCGGUUAUUUAAGUUUGGUGUGAAAUCUCCCGGCUCAACCGGGAGGGUGCGCCGAAUACUGAAUGACUUGGAGUGCGGGAGAGGAAAGUGGAAUUCCUGGUGUAGCGGUGAAAUGCGUAGAUAUCAGGAGGAACACCGGUGGUGUAGACGGCUUUCUGGACCGUAACUGACGCUGAGACACGAAAGCGUGGGUAGCAAACGGG